UCAGUAGCGUGGAUGGAGAAUAACGCGUGGCUGGAGGAACAAUUGAAAAAUGGAUAAGAUAAUACAACAAAAGGAUGAUCAAAUUAUGAAGCUGCAGGCCCAAUUAUUGGAACAACACAAAAUAUUAGAUAACAGCAAAGCUAAGGAUGGUAAGGCCUAAUACGUAAUGAUUCUAUUUAUUUGCUUUUAUUCAUUUGUGUUUUGUAGCUCAAAUUUUGAGUCUACAAGCUCAGCUAGGGGAAAAGAACCAAUUGGAAUGGAACAGUUUCCAAACAGUGAAGGAGGUUUUUCCAAACUCAUCCCUAACUGAACAUGAGGAUGAAUUGGCAUUAGGCGAACACAGUCAGUUAUUCAGUCUACCACCUGACAGUGUGUUAAAGUUAAAUUCUGUUAGUGCUGCACUAAAAGAAUUGUUAGUAAUAAGUCCAUGCAGCAAAGGAAGUGAACAAUUGUGGGACUGUAUUUGGGCUGAAAAUGGGUGUGGUAGGGAAACCCAGCAAUAGCACGAGUUCAACAUAAAACAUG